rnacentral:rRNA from 1 species
GGAAUCUUGCGCAAUGGGCGAAAGCCUGACGCAGCGACACCGCGUGGGGGAUGAAGGCCUUCGGGUUGUAAACCCCUUUCAGGAGGGCAGAAAUUGACGGUACCUCCAAAAGAAGGACCGGCCAACUACGUGCCAGCAGCCGCGGUAAUACGGAGGGAGCUAGCGUUGUUCGGAAUUACUGGGCGUAAAGCGCGCGUAGGCGGCUAUCCAAGUCAGGGGUGAAAUCCCGGGGCUCAACCCCGGAACUGCCCUUGAAACUAGGUAGCUAGAAUACUGGAGAGGUGAGUGGAAUUCCGAGUGUAGAGGUGAAAUUCGUAGAUAUUCGGAAGAACACCAGUGGCGAAGGCGACUCACUGGACAGUUAUUGACGCUGAGGUGCGAAAGCGUGGGGAGCAAACAGGAUUAGAUACCCCCGUAGUCC